CAAGGGCACUCUAAUGAGACUGCCGGUGACAAACCGGAGGAAGGUGGGGAUGACGUCAAGUCCUCAUGGCCCUUAUGGGUAGGGCUUCACACGUCAUACAAUGGUCGGUACAGAGGGUUGCCAAGCCGCGAGGUGGAGCCAAUCCCAGAAAGCCGAUCGUAGUCCGGAUUGUUCUCUGCAACUCGAGAGCAUGAAGUCGGAAUCGCUAGUAAUCGCGGAUCAGCAUGUCGCGGUGAAUACGUUCCCGGGUCUU
rnacentral:rRNA from 1 species